GCCAGAGCCUCCCGACGGCCUUAACAAGGUACUUCCGGCAGAGAAACUCCUCGGCAAAAGCCUUCUCCACCUUCCUGUCCACGUCGUGCAAAAACACGUGCGUCGCACCUGACCCCCGCCUCCUCCUAGCCAUAACCGCCGCCGAGAAUAUCACCGCCAUCCGACCAGGCGCCUCGGGAAAGUAACCCCUUGGCGCGUCGAUCAUGAUCAAGUCCCACUCCUUCUCGUACACCUCCUCCGGCAGGUUGCUCAGCGCCAGCUUGCACCUCUCGUUGCCACGUAGCACCGCCUCGGACGGCGCGCACGCCGCUUCGGAUUUGUACGAGGAGAGCAGCUCGUCCGCCUGCUUCAGCUGCGUGCGGUAGUUAACGGUCUCGGCCCUUAGCUCCGGCGAGUCCUUAAGGACUGUCUGGACCCACUUGGGGUCCUCCUCGAGGAACAGCGUCGUGCCACGUGGGUUGAAUGAGGCCCACAUGAGCGAGUCGUAGCCGAGACCGAAGACGAGGAAGUUGCAGGGCGCCCUGGAUUUAAGGACGUCGAAGGAGACGCUGAUCUCGGCUCGCGAUUGUUGCGGGGUCUUAGAUGACGUGGCGUAGUGGAGCACCGCCUGGAGCUGUGUUGCCGUGGGGUGAUAAUCGUCAAUGGGAUUAGGGAGAGAGCAGAGGAAGGAGGGUCCUGUUCCGGUGAGGCUGGAGAUGAACAAGGCGGCGCCGAGGAAGAUAACCAAAACGGCGGCUAACAAUCUGUUUAGGUUUGUGCGAGUCAUCAUCUCGAUCGUAAGAGAAACGAAAAUGAAGAUGAAAGGAAGAUCUGUGAGAAUUUUAGAGGAGAGAAAUGAGCGAAGAGAAUGAAGAAGGUUACGCCGUUACGUUAGACAGAGAUUUUUCAACUGCGUUUCGUAUGGCGGGACAAAAAUACAAGAUUUCUUAUCAGGUGAAGGCAACUCAUCAAGUGACACGUGUACUCCUGUGGCAUGUAUAAUUAAGAUACAUUUCCAUGCCGCGUAUCUACGAUCUGGUAGUUGUUAUAAUCUACGUGGCCGUUACUCAUUAGUUAUGUAUUCUGAUGUAAACUCUAUCUCUAUAUAAAGAGACUAAUGAGAAUGAAUAAGAAGACUUCUACCUCCUUCCAAUUAUUUUCUCUGUGUCUUCUCUUCUUCUUUACUUUUCAACACGUUAUCAACAUGACUCUACAUUUGAGUUGAUAACGACCAAAUCCUACAAACCCAAAAUUGAAUUUCCUACACUAAAUUUUCUUUGUUUCUAUACUCGAUGAUGAUCUGAAAAUUACACGGUGCAACUUAAUUGUUGUUCUUCACUCGUGUUCUUCAUCUAUAAGUUUGAUUUGUUUAUUGUUCAUACUCAGAUGAUUCAAUUAUUCUAUUGCCAUGAUCGGCAUAUAUACUUUGUUUUACCCAAAUAAUCUUUAUCAUUCUCUCUUUUGCUUUGGGUGUUGGGAUUUUUGGUUGCUGCGAUUAGGGUUUUGUUUAAUAACCUUUUGUAGUGCCUUUAAUUCAUAUUAGCUAGUUACUUUGAGUUAUCUUGCAAUUGUGUUUAAACGUAUUAUUUUACCCUAAAAUUCUCAUUUUUUUUUCUUCCGCUAGCUCUAGAUCUGCUAACCAAGCACAUCCUUGUUCAUAUUUAUUAGACUCUAUGAUGAUCGACGAGUUUAUGGUGCACCUUGUUUUUGGGUUUUGCCCAUAACACAUGAUCUACGAGCAUUCCACAUAUAUACACAACACAAUACUAAUAGAUCUUGCUAUAUACAAUCUCUUCCUCUCAUCAAUUUUGGUAAAUGGGUCCUUUGUUUCCUCUACUGCAUACUGAUCAAUUGGCUGCAACCAUGAUACAAAUUUUCCGUGAUAUCUAUCAAAUAUAUGUACUAUAUCUGCUGAUCGGUCUUUAUGAAUAUAUAUAUUUUCUUGAGUUCAAUUUUGUCUUUCUCUUGUUCUUAAUUGAUCGCAUAUUGAUCAAUUGUGCUAAUAUGUGAAGCAUGAUAUCCGUAUUAGCAAGAAGAUCGAGCCUGAAGUCUCUUGAUCAAAUUAUGGAGGGCCUAAAGUCUCUCUACAAUCAAAUUACCACUUGAAGUUUCUAAUAGCUUAUGUAAUUAACGAGAGCCAGAUGUUUCUCAAAGUUAUAAAAUGAUCAUUGAAACCACAUAUUGUGAUUCCUAAUCAUAUGAGGGCCUGAAGUUCCUCACGUUAUUUUGAUAUUAUGUCCUUGCGUUUAGAGGAGAGCAACAAGAUGAUCAUAUUUGAUGGAGUUAACGAGACCAGAAGUUUCUGUGCAUUUUCUUCAUUUAUGGAACCGGAAGUUUCCAAUGUAAACUUUAUUUAUUUUCGCUCUUUACAGUUUUCUUAUUUUUUUAUGCAAAUUCAUUACUGUACUUAUUGUUUAAAUUUUAUUGUUAUUCAUACGGGCCAACAACCCUAUAUGUUGAAGAUAUGAAUUUUGAAUGUAUGUAAUAUUGAGCCAGAAGUUUCAAUAUUGUAUUGUAGAACCUGAAGUUCUAAUAGUAAAAGUUCGAACUCGAAGCUUUGAGUACAAAAUACAAAUUAGUGUGACCCAGUUGUCCACUCCACCUUAGAACUUGGAGUUCUAACCGUGUAGACUCGAGUCUUAAGUUUCGAGUAUAUAUAUUUGGACAAUUUAUCUUGAAGUUUUAAUGUUGCCAACCUCAAACCUGGAGUUUUGAGGGGGAGUCAUAUUGCAAUCAAUAUAGAUAAGUAAUAUCUAACUAUUGGUCUAAAUUUAUGAUGCACGAGUAUGAGUAUACUCUUUGCAAUUACGUUGCCACCUUAUGAGACACUCUUCAUGGCAUGAGGGGGAGAAAGAUUGUUCCUGAAGAACGAUGUGGAGUGGUGAGAGUUAUUUAUCCACCUUCUCAUUUUAAUGUUGAGAAAUGUCUCAGUUAGUGAUUUGAUAAAAGAUCUUGACAAACGUAUAUGCUAAAAGCAUAGGCAUUAGCAUGGAUCAAAGUCUAUGAGAUCAUCUAUAUUAACUCAAAUACUUUAUACCCCAUUUGAUUUGUGGGAUGAACAUGUAUCCAAGUGACAUGGUUCUCUUGAAAAGAAUGUCAUGAUACAAUGUUAGAGUUUCUAAUACGGCUACACAUACAAAGGUUGUAGGUACGCCAUUAGAGAAUAGAGUCUUCGUUAACAUAUGAAUUUAAUGUUCUUGACCUCAAACUUGGUUUUGGUUCGCCACUAGCCAAUGAACAUCUCACUCGAAAGAAAGUGAUAGAGCUUUAAACGCGUAUUUACGCAUGGUCAAAAUAAGACAGUCUUCCCGCCGUUCUGGGGAGAAUAAGACUACUGUCAUUUGAAUAACAACGUGAAUUUGAGUGGAAUGUAUCCACUAGGUCUAAAGUUUUAAGCUCCUGGAAAAGAAAGAUUAUACAGAUCCUCUAAUGGUCUACAUGAUAUUACAAGUAAAAGAUCCACAUUCGCUAGAUAAUAUUUGUCCUAGAAGUGACAAUAUUUGCCCAAGAAGUGGCAUGGGUACCCAAUAUCAAAAAUGCAUGCAUAUAAGAAUGUGUGGGAUCUAUGAAUGAUGAUCAUCUAUGACAAUUUACAAAUGGUAGCUACCAAAGACCAUUAAGAACUGUAUUAAUCGAUGCUAUACCACGUUUCAUUAUGCAUGUCGACAAAGCAUAUUAUUGGCCAAAUUGGAAAGAGGCAAUUCCAAUGAAACUAAAUAUUUGAAACGUGAUGAGAUACUUUGACCUUUAACCCUACAGAUACAAAAGGGUAUUUACCACAGUGAAAGUAAAUCACUAUGAUUUGAUGUCUACAAAAGACAUGAGAUUAUGAAUUUGCCCUUGUACGAAUGAUACUUUUCUAUAAGUACAGUGUUACAUGGACGAGAGACUUAUGACAUGUUGUCAUCGUAUAUUAUGAGGGCCUUUAAAGACACAUUGAUAAACCAAAUUCCCAGAAGUGAAGUGUCAUUACAAACGUAUCGCUUGUCAAAUCCUUAAAGGAUUCAAGUACAUGAAUGAUUCUAAUGUAAUUCGAUCUAUGAAUACUUGAGAGAGCCUGAAGCUAAUUCAUGGAAUCAAAUAGUCUAAAGCUAGCUCAUAUAUACUCAUUCCAUUAUAAUUAACGUCAUCAAAAUUACCUCAAUGAGUACUAUGAUUAGACCACAAAAUCGAAUUCGAAUUAUGAUCGUUAUGUUGCUACAUAUUCUAACUUUCAAAGUUAUGAAUUAUUUAGAACUCUUGAAGAGCUUAUAUGAGACGUAUCAGUACACAAAUAUAUUGAUGUGUAUGGCUGGAUACGCCAUGACGAUGUUUCAGUGCUUUAAUGUCAAUUAGCUUAUGUUGAUUAGCUAUUACUUAGUGUAUGAAUUAGGUCAUAUGACUUAAUGAGGUAAGACCCAUUUAUUGUUUAGCUCUGUUGGUAUUAUUUCAACUUUGCAGGUUUAAAAUUUGAUGAUGAGCCCCUAUAUGCAAAGCACACAUGGUCUCACUUUAGUGAUGGACAAAUCAAACCGUUAUUUAGUGAUGGACAAAUCAAACCGUUAUUUACGAUGCAUGAAGCUUGCAACGUUCAGGGGGAGAUUCUCAUCAGGGGGAGCAUCUAGAAGUAUGCUACCUAAGAUAUAUGCGCGUUGCACUCUUUUUCUCCUUCGACCAGGGUUAUUUUUUUCCCGCUGGGUUUUUCUUACCAGGUAAGGUUUUUAACGAGACAACAUUAUGCGCGUCUAAUUUCAUCAUUCAUUGGUGGACAUCCAAGGGGGAGUGUUAUAAAUAUUAUAAUCUAUGUGGCUGUCCACGUAAUUACUCAUUAGUUAUGUACUCUGAUGUAAACUCUACCUCUAUAUAAAGAGGCUAAUGAGAAUGAAUGAGAAGACUUCUACCUCCUUCUAACUAUUCUCUAUGUGUCUUCUCUUCUUCUUUUCUUUACUUUUCAACAGUAGUCUAGUACUGUGUCACUCUAUAAUGAAUCGAUCGGGGUUUAGGGUUCAACACAUAUUGACCACCUCUGUAAUACCUUGACGCCACCGGAGACGUUUAAACGGUGCCUUCCCAGGAGCCUCCACGUCGGCGUGUUGCCGGAGCUUUCUAGGACUCAUAGAGGAAGUGCAUUCAACUUAAAACACGGGGAAUGAAUUUUAAGAGAUUGUGGGAGAAGCACAAAGUAAACUGUAAAUAAGCCCAAAAAGUAAAAAACAGGUCUAAAUCAAAACACCGGCAAAUCAGAAGGAGACUGUGGCCGCCACGCUAAUAUACAUUUGUGAUUUGUUGUAGUAUGAUGAAAUCUUAACAGAGCUUCUGCUAUCCUUAAUUACAAGUCUCAUGGCAACAACUGCGCUGCUCAUCGAAGCCAGCCCAUUGAAAUUGAGGCAAAGCACCCUCUUACGCACUUUUCGUCCUCUUCCCAUCAAAACCAUUUAGCUAUCAACCUUGCUUUGCUCUAGUCCUAGCAUAUUCCUUGGCCGCCGAGAAGACCCACUACUCUAAAUCAGACCAUCCCUCUCUGUCUCAGUGCCUCAAUGUUUUCAAAGAUGAUAAUCGGCCAGCAGCAGCAAACCCUAAUUUUAUGAGUAAGUUAUGGGAAAAGUGUCUCAAGGCAAUGAGGAAACCGGCAACGGCUGCCGUGCUGUUGGGUUUCUUAGUCAUGUGACUCAUGUACAACCCCAAACUCACCAGCCCUGGCUGCUCCGGUUGGUCGGGUUGGGGCAAGGUGGACAUCCAACACCUCGUACAACAAAUCUGAAAAUUCUAAAACCUACGACGUAUUCUAUGAACCAUUCUGGGACUGCUAACCUCUUUCGGUGUAUUUUUUGCCUUUCCCCAAUCGUGUGCAGAGUGCAUUGAUCUUUCUGUGGUGGCUUUUAUCUUUUAUUGGCCUCUCUCUCUAUAGGUCAAACAAGUGUUGUCAAGCUCCAGCUUCAGGUAUAUAGGACUGUAUUUUUGCAAAAUAUUGUUUCUAUUACUAUUAGUUAAUCUGUUCAUGCAUUUCACUGGUAUUCCUGAAGGUUAAAUUGUCGAACACUGCCGAAACAGUGCAAACGGAUCUUAACCGGAUCGCUGAAACUGCAGAACCAAAAUCGCUUGAGGGUUUGAGAUAUCUUUUGAGAGGUGAGUUGAAUGAAAAAGGGCUAGGCCUUACUUUUUGUUAGAGCUAUAUUUUCCUUCAGGUCUUAUGAUUUCAUUUUCCGGUAAAAUACUUGGUUACAGAUACAGCAAUAGCUCUACUUCGGCAACCUGAUUAUUGCAUUUCCGGUUACACAUCUGUGAGUGAAUUAAUCUCAUUCAUCCUCUAAACAUUAAUAGUCUCUAAAUUUAUGUUUGAAUUAAUUUAACUACAACUUAUAUCUAAUUUCUCUUGGAUCAUAUACCAUUUUUGUUGAUAUAUAUGUCCACGUGUCCCUACCAACUUUUGGAUGGUCUUGGUCGACUUCUCUUAAUGUUGACAUUUCACCGCAUAUUGUAUAUAAUUGGAUUGGUUUUUGGCUUUUGCUGAAGCGUGUCUAGAUACGUAUGCAUAUCAAGUUAAAACAGAGACUAUGUGGAUGUUACAAGGAACUGUUAAUUAAUUUAUAUAUAUGCGUAUCACUGCUUAAUUGUAGGUGGUUACAAACUUUGAUAGAGCGGCUGCGCAAGAAUUAUAUCAUAAACUUGUUGUAAGAGAGAGGGUAAGAUAUGACGAAGAGACCAUUCUCAAUGUGGACAAUACAAAAGCUCAAAGCACAGCAAGCCAUGCCAGAGAUCGAUAUCGCACAAUGACAAUAUUACGGUAAUUAAAAACUUUUGAUCAACUUCAGAUGUCGACUGAAUAUCAUAGUAAAAAAAGUUUUUACAUAGGAAAAAAGGGUCAUCAACUUGUUUUUGCUUUUACUUGCUGAUAGGUUACAGUAUUACUUGUUGCUGAAGGGAACUACUCCAAGUCGCUCACUGUCACUGACAGCAGUGAGGUGAAAAGAAUGUUGCAAGAGCUUUUAUCCAUUGAUCCAAGGAAACGAGUAUUAGUAAGAACAACAAUUUCUACUAGUAGCAACUGUUAAGUUGUAUUUUUCUUUUCGUCUUGAGAUAUAUAUUUAUAUAUCAUUUUCUUUAUUGUGCAGGGAGUAGAGGUACUGUGGAGUACUCCUCAGCUAUCUUCAAAUGCAGCAAGCGGAUGUAUUAAUAGACAAUCACCUGAUUAACCAACGAUCGAUGUGUUUCUAAAUUGCUAGUCAUGUGGCCGUGUUUCUCGCAAGAGAUUAGUGUUCUUUUGUUUGAGAUAGAUGUAUUAAUUAAUCACUGCUUAACCAACGAUGUGCUCUACUUCUAGCUAAUGAUCGAUCAGAAGGUGGUUACGUUAGGGUAGAUUCACCAAGAUCGAACCUCUGCACUACUGGGAUGCCAAGAUCGAUCAUCAUCGCACUCUAAAUUGUGACAACUAUAGUUUUGUUAGUGUCAAGAUGGAGAUUGAUUUCGUGUAUGAUCCUUCUAAUUUUCUCAUGGGAUUUACUUCGAGCCCACGAAUCUCAUCAUUCUCAUGUCUUUAACCCUGUUUAUAUGUAAUGAGCCAGUGAGCCAAAAAAUAAAAAGAAUUGAAAUUUACACUCCAUUUUUGCUUGUGUUAAAAUUGAGUGUAAAUUAGAGAGCGUAAAGUAGAAUACCAAUGGAUUGAAACCUCCUACGCAAAAAUUUACACCCCUCCCAAAAAAAAAUCAUAAUUGCAAGUUGCAACGUAUUCGAUUGAUUACACACUUAGAACAGGCCGAACACAAACUCUAUCAAUCACUCAAUCAAUUGUUGAAACAGAAGUUGGAAAAGUCCGAAAAUCAAAAUCACCAGUCGACCGUUAACCUUUUGAGAAAAAGUACGACUAUUUUCACCGGAACAUUACAUCGCCACUAAUUAUCUCUCCCAUUAACCUAAACCUAUUAUUACCAUGACCUAUCUUUCUCAAUUCUUAUGGCUUUGCCGCUAUGCUAUGCUAUGCCGAAACAUUUUUUUCUUUUCUUUUUCUUUAUUAAUUUUGUUCUAAGUUUUAACAACAGUACAACACUAGCAGUCGGUGGCGCAUUUCAGCAGAAACUUACGUCGGUGGCGUUAACAGCGGAGGGAAUCUCAAAAUGCCAGAGCCUCCCGACGGCCUUAACAAGGAAGUUCCGGCAGAGAAACUCCUCGGCAAAAGCCUUCUCCACCUUCCGGUCCACAUCGUGCAAGAACACGUGCGUCGCACCUGACCCCCUCCGCCUUCUAGCCAUCACCGCCGCCGAGAAUAUCGCCGCCAUCCGACCAGGCGCCUCGGGAAAGUAACCCCUUGGCGCGUCGAUCAUGAUCAAGUCCCACUCCUUCUCGUACACCUCCUCCGGCAGGUUGCUCAGCGCCAGCUUGCACCGCUCGUUGCCACGUAAGACCGCCUCAGACGGCGCGCACGUCGCUUCGGAUUUGUACGAUGAGAGCAGCUCGUCCGCCUGCUUCAGCUGCGUACGGUAGUUAACGGUCUCGGCCCUUAGCUCCGGUGAAGCCUUGAGGACGGUCUGGACCCACUUUGGGUCCUCCUCAAGGAACAAUGUCGUGCCACGUGGGUUGAACGAUGCCCACAUGAGCGAGUCGUAGCCGAGACCGAAGACGAGGAAGUUGCAGGGCGCCCGGGAUUUAAGGACGUCGAAGGAGACGCUGAUCUCGGCACGCGAUUGUUGCGGGGUCUUAGAUGAAGUGGCGUAGUGGAGCACCGCCUGGAGCUGUGUUGCCGUGGGGUGAUAAUCGUCAAUGAGAUUAGGGAGAGAGCAGAGGAAGGAGGGUCCUGUUCCGGUGAGGCUGGAGAUGAACAAGGCGGCGCCGAGGAAGAACACCAAAACGGCGGCCAACAAGCUCUUUAGGUUUGUGCGAGUCUUCAUGUCGAUCAUGUAAUAACCAAGAUGAAGGAAAUGAGC
rnacentral:lncRNA from 1 species